AACGAACGCUGGCGGCAUGCCUAACACAUGCAAGUCGAACGAGACCUUCGGGUCUAGUGGCGCACGGGUGCGUAACGCGUGGGAACCUGCCUUUAGGUUCGGAAUAACUCAGAGAAAUUUGAGCUAAUACCGGAUAAUGUCUUCGGACCAAAGAUUUAUCGCCUUUAGAUGGGCCCGCGUUGGGAUUAGCUAGUUGGUGGGGUAAAGGCCUACCAAGGCGACGAUCCAUAGCUGGUCUGAGAGGAUGAUCAGCCACACUGGGACUGAGACACGGCCCAGACUCCUACGGGAGCAGCAGUGGGGAAUAUUGGACAAUGGGCGAAAGCCUGAUCCAGCAAUGCCGCGUGAGUGAUGAAGCCUUAGGUGUAAAGCUCUUUUACCCGAGAUGAUAAUGACAGUAUCGGGAGAAUAAGCUCCGGCUAACUCCGUGCCAGCAGCCGCGGUAAUGUGACUACUG
rnacentral:rRNA from 1 species